rnacentral:rRNA from 1 species
GAAUUCGCCCUUAGAGUUUGAUCCUGGCUCAGGACGAACGCUGGCGGCGCGCCUAACACAUGCAAGUCGAACGAGCGAGAGAGAGCUUGCUUUCUCAAGCGAGUGGCGAACGGGUGAGUAACGCGUGAGGAACCUGCCUCAAAGAGGGGGAUAACAGUUGGAAACGGCUGCUAAUACCGCAUAAGCGCACAGCAUCGCAUGAUGCAGUGUGAAAAACUCCGGUGGUAUAAGAUGGACCCGCGUUGGAUUAGCUAGUUGGUGAGGUAACGGCCCACCAAGGCAACGAUCCAUAGCCGACCUGAGAGGGUGACCGGCCACAUUGGGACUGAGACACGGCCCAAACUCCUACGGGAGGCAGCAGUGGGGAAUAUUGCACAAUGGGGGAAACCCUGAUGCAGCGACGCCGCGUGAAGGAAGAAGUAUCUCGGUAUGUAAACUUCUAUCAGCAGGGAAGAUAGUGACGGUACCUGACUAAGAAGCCCCGGCUAACUACGUGCCAGCAGCCGCGGUAAAACGUAGGUCACAAGCGUUGUCCGGAAUUACUGGGUGUAAAGGGAGCGCAGGCGGGAAGACAAGUUGGAAGUGAAAUCCAUGGGCUCAACCCAUGAACUGCUUUCAAAACUGUUUUUCUUGAGUAGUGCAGAGGUAGGCGGAAUUCCCGGUGUAGCGGUGGAAUGCGUAGAUAUCGGGAGGAACACCAGUGGCGAAAGCGGCCUACUGGGCACCAACUGACGCUGAGGCUCGAAAGUGUGGGUAGCAAACAGGAUUAGAUACCCUGGUAGUCCACACUGUAAACGAUGAUUACUAGGUGUUGGAGGAUUGACCCCUUCAGUGCCGCAGUUAACACAAUAAGUAAUCCACCUGGGGAGUACGACCGCAAGGUUGAAACUCAAAGGAAUUGACGGGGGCCCGCACAAGCAGUGGAGUAUGUGGUUUAAUUCGACGCAACGCGAAGAACCUUACCAAGUCUUGACAUCCUGCGACGGACAUAGAAAUAUGUUUUUCCUUCGGGACGCAGAGACAGGUGGUGCAUGGUUGUCGUCAGCUCGUGUCGUGAGAUGUUGGGUUAAGUCCCGCAACGAGCGCAACCCUUAUGGUCAGUUACUACGCAAGAGGACUCUGGCCAGACUGCCGUUGACAAAACGGAGGAAGGUGGGGAUGACGUCAAAUCAUCAUGCCCUUUAUGACUUGGGCUACACACGUACUACAAUGGCGUUAAACAAAGAGAAGCAAGACCGCGAGGUGGAGCAAAACUCAGAAACAACGUCCCAGUUCGGACUGCAGGCUGCAACUCGCCUGCACGAAGUCGGAAUUGCUAGUAAUCGCAGAUCAGCAUGCUGCGGUGAAUACGUUCCCGGGCCUUGUACACACCGCCCGUCA